rnacentral:tRNA from 1 species
UGCCGUUGAGGUAUUGGUUGACCAGGCGGAUUCGGGUUCCGUCCACAAAGGAGCCGGUCGCGUCGGCCAGCGGCUC